GUGAGGAAUAUUGGACAAUGGGCGCAAGCCUGAUCCAGCCAUGCCGCGUGCAGGAAGACGCAUCUAUGUUGUGUAAACUGCUUUUGUACGGGAAGAAACACUCCCUCGUGAGGGAGCUUGAUGGUACCGUAAGAAUAAGGAUCUGCUAACUCCGUGCCAGCAGCCGCGGUAAUACGGAGGAUCCAAGCGUUAUCCGGAAUCAUUGGGUUUAAAGGGUCCGGAGGAGGUUUAAUAAGUCAGAGGUGAAAGCCCAUCGCUCAACGAUGGAACGGCCAUUGAUACUGUUAGACUUGAAGUACAAGGAAGUAACUAGAAUAUGUAGUGUAGCGGUGAAAUGCUUAGAUAUUACAUGGAAUACCAAUUGCGAAGGCAGGUUACUACUUGUGGAUUGACGCUGAUGGACGAAAGCGUGGGGAGCGAACAGGAUUAGAAACCCCAGUAGUCC
rnacentral:rRNA from 1 species